ensembl:lncRNA
GUGAGGGAGGUGUGCUUCGUGUCCAGGCUGUUUACUGCCGUGACAAUGGGCAGGGUUUGGGCUUGCAUCUGAGCUGGGUUUAUUGUGGGUGGAGGCAGGGGAGUGGCGGACAGAGGGCAUGUCUAACCUGAAGGAGGCAGUGAGGACCCGCUGCACAGAAGGGGAGAUGUGUUGAAGGAGCAGUAGGAGGGGGGUGGAAGUCGAUUUAGGGCGGGUCCCCAAAUGGGUGGCUGCAAGUGACAUCGUAGAGAUGGCAGACAUGGUACCUAAUAGACACUCUGCAGAGUUGAUUCCGUUAUCUCUGUUUUGUGGUUGAAUCUCUCAGGUCUCUGAAAGAUGGAAGCCCAGCAGGCAGGGUUAAUGCAUUCUUUUUCAAAAGGAAGGAGCUGGAUUCGAUGAUCUUCAAGGAGGUUGACAAGCAUGUGGGGAAAGGCUUCUACUCAACUCUGGGAAGGCUUCCUGGGUAGCUCAGUUGGUAAAGAAUCUGCCUGCAAUGCAGGAGGCCCCUAUUCAAUUCCUGCGUCAGGAAGUUCCCCUGAAAAAGGGAUAGGCUACCCACUCCUGUAUUCUUGGGCUUCCCUGGUGGAUCAGACAGUAAAAAAUCCACCUGCAAUGCAGGAUACCUGGGUUCAGUCCCUGGGUGGGGAAGAUCCCCUGGAGGAGGGCAUGACAACCCACUCCAGUAUUCUUGGCUGGAGAAUCCCCAUGGAUGGAGGAGCCUGGUGGGCUGCAGUCCCUGGGGUUGCAAAGAGUCAGACAUGACUGAAUAGACAGCAUGCAUGCACAAAUUGAAGACAGAGAAAAAAAAAUCAAUGCAUCCCCGUGGUUAAGAGAACUGGCUUUUGGAUCGCACUCUGAAUCAAAUCCUAAUUCUGCCACCCGUUUGCUGUGAAAUGUGGGACAAGUUACUGAAUGCCUCCAAGUCUCAGUUUCACAGUCUCUGAAAUGGAGAUGGUUAAAGAACCUGUUCUGUGAGGUUGCGAUCCUCGUAUGUGACGGAACGGCUGCAAAUUUCCCAGUGCAAGGUAAGAGCUGAGUAAUAUUUGCCUCAUCAGCGGCAGCCCCAGCAUCAUCCCCAUGGUCGUUUUCUCAUCUACUUAUCCUGCCCGGCCCUGGAGGGCAGACAUGGGAGCGAAUGUGGAACCUACAGGGAGGUUGAGGGUGAUUCAACUCGAGAAAGAACAAUCCAACUGCUGGUAUUGUAGAGAAUGGGCACACGGAGGGGGCGGCGAGGAAAGAAAGUGGGAGGGAGAGAGAGAGAGAGGAGCUUCAGUGGACGGAUCUGUGGAACAGCCACGUGCCCUGUGCACCGUCUCAUCGAGGGGUUAACCCCGGCCGUGUCAGCGUCUCAGAGAAAACAGAGGCCACCGGUCACGGAGACCAAGAGAAGUUUCACUGUCUCCUUCACCUGCCGCUUUCCCACAGCUGCGAGACCCCAGCCCAAGGGCGGCCUGGAAAUUUGGUUAAGAAAUGAAGGCUUAGCAUUCUUGAAAGAUGGUCUUAGGGUGGUCCUGUUUGGACUAUGUCUUCAAGGAGGCCUUCCAGGGCUCUUAGGAAACCGGGCCUGGCGCCCCUGCAGCCUCUGAGGGCUCCUGGAGGGCCUCUGCCUGACUCAGUCUUCAGGGACCCCUCCUCCCUUUGCCUCUAGGCUGGAGGCCUCCUCUCCUCCCAUGACGGCUCCUUCACCCUGUAACUGCACCUGUGGAUUUCCGCUCUAGUCCCACGACCCUCUUCUCUCAGUCUUGCCAUCACUGCCCCUGGCUUUAUCUUCUCUUUCCCGGGCACAGGGGCCCUUCCCGCCCGAUGCUGUGAGUCUUUAGUGAGUCCAGAGCCCCGGAUGCCUCCGCUGACCUUGCCCUCUGUGGCCUUCCUUUCUCCGCUGCUUCCGUGUAAAUGCAGCCUGGUCCUGGGAACAAGAGCCCGGUCCAGGCAGCGGAAGUCAUGAUUACUGUCAGAUGACACGGGGGGCGAUGGAGCCGGGCCCUCGUCGCGCGCUCGAGGCCUCAGCGUUCACCUUGGGAUCAUUGUGAAGUGACCCUGCUUGGGGACCCUCCCCGAACCCGGCCGUAGGCCCAAGCCGGGAUGCAUUCCUUCAGGCGCCGAGAGGGGCCUGUCUGCAUGUCACCCCUCCGCACCCCGCCUGGCCCCCCCCGGACUGCAACAGAGCCUGCUCCUGGAGACAAGGGCGCGCAGCUGGCUGACGUCACCAGGAAUGCUCGGGGGCCUGCACGGAGCCGAGAUGAGAUGUCACUGGGAGCAACUGGACGGUCCGUCCCGUCAUCUGCUUCGGAAACGAGCCGGUGCUACAGGGACGGAGAAGUCUGCGGAAACAUCUGAGAACGUUGCAUCUGGUUGAUUUGCCUCCCAGCUCUGCCCUCCUCCUUUCCCGCCCUGCUCACUCUUCGCCUCUGGGGCUUCUGUCCCCAGGAGGCAGUCUACAAGAGCGUUUGGGAGCAGAGCACUUGGAAUCCGCCUUGGCUCCCUCCUGGCUCUACUCCUUGCCAGCUGUGUGACGUUGGGCAUGGCAUGCAAAUGGGGCGAACAGUGGGCCCUGCCUCCUGGGGCUUGGGCAAUGAAUGAAUUGGUACUGAUGGAGCCCCAGCACUGUUCCCAGCACAUAGUAGGCACAUGAUAGCUGAGGAUCAUUUGAAUUAAGCUGCAACCUCAGAAUCAAAGGUCGAGGCCUAGGAAUGAGACAUUCCAUUUAAC